UAGCUAGUUGGUAAGGUAACGGCUUACCAAGGCGACGAUCAGUAGCCGGACUGAGAGGUUGAUCGGCCACAUUGGGACUGAGACACGGCCCAGACUCCUACGGGAGGCAGCAGUGGGGAAUAUUGCACAAUGGAGGAAACUCUGAUGCAGCGAUGCCGCGUGAGGGAAGAAGGUUUUAGGAUUGUAAACCUCUGUCUUCAGGGACGAAAAAAGACGGUACCUGAGGAGGAAGCUCCGGCUAACUACGUGCCAGCAGCCGCGGUAAUACGUAGGGAGCGAGCGUUGUCCGGAAUUACUGGGUGUAAAGGGAGCGUAGGCGGGAUCGCAAGUCAGAUGUGAAAACUAUGGGCUUAACCCAUAAACUGCAUUUGAAACUGUGGUUCUUGAGUGAAGUAGAGGUAAGCGGAAUUCCUAGUGUAGCGGUGAAAUGCGUAGAUAUUAGGAGGAACAUCAGUGGCGAAGGCGGCUUACUGGGCUUUAACUGACGCUGAGGCUCGAAGGCGUGGGGAGCAAACAGGAUUAGAUACCCUGGUAGUCCACGCCGUAAACGAUGAUUACUAGGUGUGGGGGGACUGACCCCUUCCGUGCCGCAGCAAACGCAAUAAGUAAUCCACCUGGGGAGUACGACCGCAAGGUUGAAACUCAAAGGAAUUGACGGGGGCCCGCACAAGCAGUGGAGUAUGUGGAUUAAUUCGAAGCAACGCGAAGAACCUUACCAGGUCUUGACAUCGUAUGCAUAGCUCAGAGAUGAGUGAAAUCUCUUCGGAGACAUAUAGACAGGUGGUGCAUGGUUGUCGUCAGCUCGUGUCGUGAGAUGUUGGGUUAAGUCCCGCAACGAGCGCAACCCUUACUGUUAGUUGCUACGCAAGAGCACUCUAGCAGGACUGCCGUUGACAAAACGGAGGAAGGUGGGGAUGACGUCAAAUCAUCAUGCCCCUUAUGACCUGGGCCUCACACGUACUACAAUGGCUGUCAACAGAGGGAAGCAAAGCCGCGAGGUGGAGCGAACCCCUAAAAGCAGUCUUAGUUCGGAUUGUAGGCUGCAACCCGCCUACAUGAAGUCGGAAUUGCUAGUAAUCGCAGAUCAGCAUGCUGCGGUGAAUACGUUCCCGGGCCUUGUACACACCGCCCGUCACGCCAUGGGAGUCGGUAACACCCGAAGCCUGUAGUCUAACCACAAGGAGGACGCAGUCGAAGGUGGGAUUGAUGACUGGGGUGAAGUCGUAACAAGGUAGCCGUACUAGUACGA
rnacentral:rRNA from 1 species